UUAAGUUCAGCGGGUAGUCCUACCUGAUUUGAGGUCAAGAUUGUCAAAGUAAUGUUUAGAAAGCAGCAUUAAAGCAGAUGUCUAGGAUGUAGAUAAUUAUCACAUCUGUAGACAGUUCCACCCAAGGCACCACUAAUUAAUUUCAGAGGAGCAGACCUAGAAGCCCACAAUAACCCCCAAAUCCAAGCCACACUGAUCAA
rnacentral:misc_RNA from 1 species